GUAAGUGCUGAUGCUGCUGCUUUGAGGGCCACACACCUUGAGGAGUAGGAAGAGUACUCAUACUGGAAGAGUAUUCAGCACGGACUGGAAUCCUGCAUACAUAUCUGAGCUCUGUGUUCUGUAGAGAUGGGGUUUCACCAUGUUGCCCAGGCUGGUCUCAAACUCCUGAGCUCAGGCCAUCUGCCCGCCUCGGCCUCCCAAAGUGCUAGGAUUACAGGUGCCUGCUUCCCCUUCACCUUCCACCAUGAUUGUAAGUUUCCUGAGGCCUCCCCAGACAUGUGGAACUAACAGGUUUCUCUUAUUGCCUGGAUCCAAGAGCAUCUCCUGGGUUCUUCCUGUUAGAAUACUGAAUGUCCAUGGAGAGUUUAACAUAAGGAAGAAGAGGCCUGUCUCCCAGCUGAAACUGGUGCAGCAGAUCAUGCAAAGUAAAACCUCAGCAGCUGUGAUGAAGUAGAGCAGAGGGCCUGGGUGUCUGUCAGCUCCAAGCGGAAGAUUUCCCCAGCUUUCUAGGUAACUGUGCUUCCACUGAGCAAGCCAGACACAGACUUGAAUGUCAUCACAAUCUGUGCCUGUGACAUCUUUCCCCAAGAAUAGCACAAAUUGAACUUUUACAUUCUUCAUAAUAUGGAAGGAAAGAUUUCUGACUUCAUAUCUGUGGGAUCCACACAAUGGGGAGGUACUGGCCUUGGAAUCCAUGGUUCCCCAGCUAUCAUUUUACUUUAGAAUUACAGUGUUCUCUGUUAGUGUCAAGGGAAUGAACCUGACGAGAAAAGACCAAACAUAGGACUGUUACAGGGAAGAAAAAUAUGAAAAGACCUAAAGAUG
rnacentral:lncRNA from 1 species